rnacentral:rRNA from 1 species
UGGGGAAUUUUGGACAAUGGGCGAAAGCCUGAUCCAGCAAUGCCGCGUGUGUGAAGAAGGCCUUCGGGUUGUAAAGCACUUUUGUCCGGAAAGAAAUCCUUGGCUCUAAUACAGUCGGGGGAUGACGGUACCGGAAGAAUAAGCACCGGCUAACUACGUGCCAGCAGCCGCGGUAAUACGUAGGGUGCAAGCGUUAAUCGGAAUUACUGGGCGUAAAGCGUGCGCAGGCGGUUUGCUAAGACCGAUGUGAAAUCCCCGGGCUCAACCUGGGAACUGCAUUGGUGACUGGCAGGCUAGAGUAUGGCAGAGGGGGGUAGAAUUCCACGUGUAGCAGUGAAAUGCGUAGAGAUGUGGAGGAAUACCGAUGGCGAAGGCAGCCCCCUGGGCCAAUACUGACGCUCAUGCACGAAAGCGUGGGGAGCAAACAGGAUUAGAUACCCUGGUAGUCCACGCCCUAAACGAUGUCAACUAGUUGUGGGGAUUCAUUCCUUAGUAACGUAGCUAACGCGUGAAGUUGACCGCCUGGGGAGUACGGUCGCAAGAUUAAAACUCAAAUGAAUUGACGGGGUCAUA